UAAUUUGAGAGUUUGAUCCUGGCUCAGGACGAACGCUGGCGGCGUGCCUAAUACAUGCAAGUCGAACGAACUCUGGUAUUGAUUGGUGCUUGCAUCAUGAUUUACAUUUGAGUGAGUGGCGAACUGGUGAGUAACACGUGGGAAACCUGCCCAGAAGCGGGGGGAUAACACCUGGAAACAGAUGCUAAUACCGCAUAACAACUUGGACCGCAUGGUCCGAGUUUGAAAGAUGGCUUCGGCUAUCACUUUUGGAUGGUCCCGCGGCGUAUUAGCUAGAUGGUGGGGUAACGGCUCACCAUGGCAAUGAUACGUAGCCGACCUGAGAGGGUAAUCGGCCACAUUGGGACUGAGACACGGCCCAAACUCCUACGGGAGGCAGCAGUAGGGAAUCUUCCACAAUGGACGAAAGUCUGAUGGAGCAACGCCGCGUGAGUGAAGAAGGGUUUCGGCUCGUAAAACUCUGUUGUUAAAGAAGAACAUAUCUGAGAGUAACUGUUCAGGUAUUGACGGUAUUUAACCAGAAAGCCACGGCUAACUACGUGCCAGCAGCCGCGGUAAUACGUAGGUGGCAAGCGUUGUCCGGAUUUAUUGGGCGUAAAGCGAGCGCAGGCGGUUUUUUAAGUCUGAUGUGAAAGCCUUCGGCUCAACCGAAGAAGUGCAUCGGAAACUGGGAAACUUGAGUGCAGAAGAGGACAGUGGAACUCCAUGUGUAGCGGUGAAAUGCGUAGAUAUAUGGAAGAACACCAGUGGCGAAGGCGGCUGUCUGGUCUGUAACUGACGCUGAGGCUCGAAAGUAUGGGUAGCAAACAGGAUUAGAUACCCUGGUAGUCCAUACCGUAAACGAUGAAUGCUAAGUGUUGGAGGGUUUCCGCCCUUCAGUGCUGCAGCUAACGCAUUAAGCAUUCCGCCUGGGGAGUACGGCCGCAAGGCUGAAACUCAAAGGAAUUGACGGGGGGCCCGCACAAGCGGUGGAGCAUGUGGUUUAAUUCGAAGCUACGCGAAGAACCUUACCAGGUCUUGACAUACUAUGCAAAUCUAAGAGAUUAGACGUUCCCUUCGGGGACAUGGAUACAGGUGGUGCAUGGUUGUCGUCAGCUCGUGUCGUGAGAUGUUGGGUUAAGUCCCGCAACGAGCGCAACCCUUAUUAUCAGUUGCCAGCAUUAAGUUGGGCACUCUGGUGAGACUGCCGGUGACAAACCGGAGGAAGGUGGGGAUGACGUCAAAUCAUCAUGCCCCUUAUGACCUGGGCUACACACGUGCUACAAUGGAUGGUACAACGAGUUGCGAACUCGCGAGAGUAAGCUAAUCUCUUAAAGCCAUUCUCAGUUCGGAUUGUAGGCUGCAACUCGCCUACAUGAAGUCGGAAUCGCUAGUAAUCGCGGAUCAGCAUGCCGCGGUGAAUACGUUCCCGGGCCUUGUACACACCGCCCGUCACACCAUGAGAGUUUGUAACACCCAAAGUCGGUGGGGUAACCUUUUAGGAACCAGCCGCCUAAGGUGGGACAGAUGAUUAGGGUGAAGUCGUAACAAGGUAGCCGUAGGAGAACCUGCGGCUGGAUCACCUCCUUU
rnacentral:rRNA from 1 species